rnacentral:rRNA from 1 species
CCUACGGGUGGCAGCAGUGAGGAAUAUUGGUCAAUGGGCGCGAGCCUGAUCCAGCCACGUAGCGUGAAGGAUGACUGACCUCCGGGUUGUAAACUUCUUUUAUAAAGGACUAAAGUGCGGCACGUGUCUCUUUUUCUAUGUACUUUAUGAUUCCGGAUCGCCUAACUCCGUGCAAGCAGCCGCGGUAAUACGGAGGAUCCGAGCGUUAUCAGGAUUUAUUGGGUUUAAAGGGAGCGUAGAUGGGUUGUUAAGUCAGUUGUGAAAGUUUGCGGCUCAACCGUACAAUUGCAAUUGAUACUGGCAGCCUUGAGUGCAGGUGAGGUAGGCGGAAUUCGUGGUGUAGCGGUGAAAUGCUUAGAUAUCACGAAGAACUCCGAUGGCGAAGGCAGCUUACUAGACUGCCACUGACAUUGAGGCUCGAAAGUGUGGGGAUCAAACAGGAUUAGAUACCCGUGUAGUC